AGCGAACGCUGGCGGCAGGCCUAACACAUGCAAGUCGAACGAACUCUUCGGAGUUAGUGGCGGACGGGUGAGUAACACGUGGGAACGUGCCUUUAGGUUCGGAAUAACUCAGGGAAACUUGAGCUAAUACCGGAUGUGCCCUUCGGGGGAAAGAUUUAUCGCCUUUAGAGCGGCCCGCGUCUGAUUAGCUAGUUGGUGAGGUAAAGGCUCACCAAGGCGACGAUCAGUAGCUGGUCUGAGAGGAUGAUCAGCCACAUUGGGACUGAGACACGGCCCAAACUCCUACGGGAGGCAGCAGUGGGGAAUCUUGCGAAAUGGGCGAAAGCCUGACGCAGCCAUGCCGCGUGAAUGAUGAAGGUCUUAGGAUUGUAAAAUUCUUUCACCGGGGACGAUAAUGACGGUACCCGGAGAAGAAGCCCCGGCUAACUUCGUG
rnacentral:rRNA from 1 species